CCGCCCACGCCAAUUUAGAGCCCCGGUGGCCCCGCCCAUACACUCUGCUCACGCCCGCAGCGUGCGCCAGAGGCGUCACCCACGCGCCCGCCCCUGGUUUGCGUGAGCCGGAGGCGGGGCGUCUUCGCGUGCUCUGGCCCACGUGACCGCAGCCGGGCACAAACUAAGGGGUCAGCGUCGCCUCGCCAGCUGUUGCUAUUUCCGCCUUAGGUGCCCAGGAAGUGGGCGGUGAGGCCUCUGGGUUUCCAAGACUCCUUUUUUACUCCAUCCCGCGCUUGCUGAGCCUUGCAUCUGCGUCCAGCCUGCCCCCAGCUCCCCAUAAGCUUGGAUGUCACGUGGAUUGGACUUGCCUCAGACUGUGUAGCCGUGGUUGGCCUUAAAUUCUUGGUCCUCUGCCUCCACCUGGUCAAAUGAUGGCUGGCCUUCAACUCUGGAUCCUACUGCUCCAGCCUCCUGGGACUGAGACUACAACCCUAUGCCAGGCCUGCUGGAAUCAAGUUUUUCUCAGGGGGAAAUUAUACAUACUCUGAUUGGGAAAAGUCAUCACAUUUAGAAUUGAGCACGUUCUUGAGCUCAUAUAAUGUGUUCAAAACAAUGGCAGAGGUCUAGGGGAGAUGGCUCAGUUGGAUAGAAGCCAGCCUGAAGUCAUAAGUUAGAUUCCCACAACCCUCAUCAUGGAAGGAGAAGUCCCAACCCCUGUGCUGUGGCAUCCCCUCCCACGCACAUCUACAUAAAUGAGCAAGUGUAAUGAUAAAAAUUAUAUCUCCGAUUCUCUCACACACACAUAGCCACACCCCAGAGGCAGACAGGAAAGCCUCAGUGGAGAAUUAGUAUUUUAAUGUGCCAGGUUUAUUCUCAGUCUCAUGAAAAGAGUAGAUCCAAGUGAACCAGCUAUUUUUAGUUGGCUCCUUGUUUCUCUGGAGGCUGUUAUCUGAAAUAACAACAAUGAGCAACUUGGAAGUCUCCAUAAUCACUCCUUUACAGGGGAGCAGCCUUCCCUCCCCCCCCCCCCCAGACCCUACCCCCAAUGCAUGGGUGUUUACUCCAAAAAAGUGCCUGCCUAGAGCCUGACAAAGGCUCAGAGAUCAACCACACUCGAAAAGGAAAUCAAAACAGAGACCAAAGUUCUGCAAAGGGUGUGUGCCCUCUUUGUAGCUUUACUCAAAACAGCAGGCCACAGUCACUGUAGGAUAAGUGGUCAGAGCUCUGACAGAAAGGCAUCCAGGCCUCGCUGUACUUCAGGAGCCAUAAAGCUGUACUUGAAAGGAAACACACACACACACACACACACACACACACACACACACAAAUGAGGGAGGGAGCCGCACGUGGUGGCGCACACCUUUAAUCCCAGCACUUGGGAGGCAGAAGCAGGUGAAUUUCUGAGUUCGAGGCCAGCCUGGUCUACAGAGUGAGUUCCAGGACAGCCAGGGCUACACAGAGAAACCCUGUCUCGAAAAAACUAAAAAAACAAACAAAAAAAAUAAAAUGAGGGAACUGCACAUGCCUACCUACACUAGUGACUAUGAGAAGAAUGGCAGGCUGCGGUGCCAUCACCCUGAAUCCUAGCACUCCUGAAGGAGGGGCACCAAGAUUACUCAAAGUUUGAAGCCAGUGUGCUUGGGCUACAUAAUAAGUACCCGGUUAUCCUGGGCUCUAGCGUUAAGACCCUGUUUCAAAAAGGAGACAGAGAGAGGGAAGGAGAAUGUGAAUCCCAACAACUAUUUAAUAAAAAAGUAAAGCCUAUAACCACAAAACUAAUAGGUAAUGAAGAUAGAAAUGUAAACAAAGCAAAGGCCAGAGUUUAGGCCUUUAGAAGAGGGUUUGCCUAGCAGGGAGGAGGCCCUAGGCUUGACUCUUAGCAUGAUAUAAACAGUGCAGAGAUACAGUGUAUCUAGGUUGGCUCAGUGCUUGCUUAGUAUGCGGUAUGCCCUCGGUUCAACCUCCAGCACCCCCUAAACAGGGCGUGAUGGUGCGCUGUGUCUGUAGUCCAGCACUGAGGAGGUGGAGGGAGGGGGAUCAGAGGUUCAAGGUCAUCCGCACCUAUGCAUUGAGUUUGAUGUCCUCCUAUCUUAUAAAAACAAAAAUGGAAGAAGAAACAAAACCAAUAAGAACUAAUCUGGAAAGCAUAUAAAAUGAGUGAUCUAAAUCUGUUAAUGUCAAUAAUUACUUUAAAUAGUAAUGGAUCAAAAUUUCUAAUUAAAAGGAAGAGUUUAACACAUUGGCAUUUAAAAAGCAAGCACAGGGCUGGCGAGAUGGCUCCAUGGUUAAGAGCGCCGACUGCUCUUCCGAA